rnacentral:rRNA from 1 species
AACGAACGCUGGCGGCGCGCCUAAUACAUGCAAGUCGAGCGAGAAGGUGUAGCAAUACACUUGUAAAGCGGCGAACGGGUGAGGAAUACAUGGGUGACCUACCCUCGAGUGGGGAAUAACUAGCCGAAAGGUUAGCUAAUACCGCAUACGAUUCCCGGAUUACGGUUCGGGAAGGAAAGCGAUACCGUGGGUAUCGCGCUCAUGGAUGGGCUCAUGUCCUAUCAGCUUGNGGUGAGGUAACGGCCCACCAAGGCUUCGACGGGUAGCUGGUCUGAGAGGACGAUCAGCCACACUGGCACUGCGACACGGGCCAGACUCCUACGGGAGGCAGCAGUAAGGAUAUUGCGCAAUUGGGCAAAGCCUGACGCAGCGACGCCGCGUGGGGGAUGAAGGUCUUCGGAUUGUAAAGCCCUUUCGGC